CUUGCAUGCAAAGUUUUAUGUGACGAUAAUAUAAAUUCUACUACUAUCAGGGAAAGUAGAGGAAAAGGUGACAAUUUCUAAUUUAUGCAACUUAUACUUCCUUUAUUUUCUUCUUCUGUUUGUUCUUUUUUGGGGGGAGGGUUUCAAGAAACGCUUGCAUGCAAAGUUUUAUGUGACAAUAAGAUAAUUUCUACUUCUAUGGGGCGUAUGUGUACAUAAUAUCAGUGAAAAUAGAGUCAAAAGAGAAGGGGAAAAAAUAUUUAUGCAUAUGGUUUACACUAUUUCCCCUACUUCCCCUUUCUUUCUUAUUUCUUUUUUUUUUGUGUGAGGGUUUUACCAGUAUCCAUCAUGAAGAAGAACCUGAUUUAUCAGAAGAUGUUUUGGAUUGCAUCAAUCUCUCCUUGUAUGAGAUUAUUGACUGAUUGAAGACCAGUAUCCAUCAUGUACUAGAGCCGGUUUAUCAGAAAAUACUUCAAGCAAGGUCAACUUGGAUUGUUAUACAUCGUUUCCUUCUUGUCUGAGAUUAUUGACUGAUUGAAGAGCAGUAUCCAUCAUGUACUAGAGCCGGUUUAUCAGAAAAUUAUUCAAGCAAGAUCAACUUGGAUUGUUAUACAUCAGUCCCUUCUUGUCUGUGAUAAUAUGGCAACUUCAAAUGGUUUGAACCAUCAACCAGUUACUGCUUGGUAAAACAGUGGACUCUGCAAGCAUCUUAUUAAAUAGACUAUGAUUGGAUAGAACAUCUACAAAACAAGCAACUUAGCAAGAUUAUUGACUGAUUGAAGACCAGUAUCCAUCAUGGACUAGAGCCAAUUUAUCAGAAAAUACUUCAAGCAAGAUCAACUUGGAUUGUUAUACAUCAGUCCCUUCUUGUCUGAGAAUGUUUGCAAUCUGUGUCUGCCCAUCAGUUACAAGUCCUGAGGUAUUCAUCAAUGAAAACAAGUUAAAUAACCCAUCCAUCCUUUGAAGAUUGAGAAA